CGGUCGGAGGGCAGUUCGAGGUUGGGAGAGACGGAAGUGUGGCCAAUGAGAUGCAACCGAGGGAAGGGGGUGGAGAAAGACGUGGAGUGAAGAGGAGCAGGGGCUUGCGAGGGAGACAAUGGCAGUUUUGGAGAGGCAGCAGGUUUAGGGUUUCGUGGGGGGAGGAAAAAAGUCACCGUUUAUGAGCGGCGGAGCGAGGAGACUAGCAUCGGUGGAUGGGGGAGUUGGUGGUCGCCAUCGUUGUAUGAAUCGAUGGGUGACUACAUGCCUAUGUCGCAGGAUGUGCAAGCGCAGCAUGCUGCUCGGCGGUGGACCUCGUUCUUAUCCGCGGCGAUGCACGAUGCACAAGCGCCUCGAGAUGCGUUGGGUGGGGUGUACCAGAGGAGCCACAGCUUUUGGGGGUAGGGUUUAGGGUUGCACGCACUCAACAAUUUCUUUUGGAGCCUGCCGAGGUCGUCGAUGUCCAAGGGUGAGUUUUCGGGGUUUCCGAUGGCAAACGAGGAGUCGCGGAUCGAGGCGGGGAGCGGUGAAGGGGGCUUUUAUGAGGAGGCAGGAAGGGAGCAAGUCGAACGGACAUGCGAGGGUUGAAGUUGGGAUUGGCGUCACUGCUGGGGGCCGAGGGACCUGGUCGCUAGGAUUACAGACAUUUUCCGAUGCGUCGUUCAACAAUUUUGUGUCAUCGAACAACGAGGACGAGGAGGCGUGGGCAGUGAUAGACAUGUACGGGUGCAAUGAGUUCCGGAUGUUGGAAUUCUAGAUGAGGCGAUGUAUGAGAGAGAGGAGCCAUGAUUGGACGGAAGGCCCAUUUGCCCACCCGGGCGAGAAAGCUAGGCGUUGCAAUCCGCGACGGUACGAGGACUCGGGGACAGCGUGUAGGGAGUUUCGAAAAAGGGAGCUCUCGGAGAGGCGAUGUGUGCGAGUUUGGGUGCAUUUAAGUAUUGAGUAUUGGCUGCAUUUGGCUCGGUACUUGGACGCAGCCAUGCAAGGAUGGGCAGAAUUAGCAUCAUCGAGUGUGGUUUUUGGUGCAUACGUCGGAGCAGCUACGGUGGAUGCCUGCGGUGGCAAAGGAGGCACAGGAAGCGACGACAAGAGAUCGGAGCACAAGGCAUCACGAAGGGUUGCCGCGAGCCGGUGCACGGGGGAGCUACGAUCGAGCGUCGAGGUACGAGGACUUGUCUUACGACGGACCAUGGGGACGUGACGGUCUGAGCCAGUCGUUGGAGCAUUCUAGGUCGGCCCAGUGGAGUGCAGGGUGUGCGGCAUUGUAGAAUUCAUUGCCUAGGUCGAUGUUGGUGGGGCUUGCACAGUACCCGCUGCCGUUGAGCCCUCUGUUGUUGGGGUUGGUUGAGAAAUGGGCAUAAGUGUGGGGUGAUUAACGAGCGUGUCGAUGUCUGAUUUUACAGAAUCUGUAAUGUGACUAUAGGCGACACUACAGUAAGCGGCGUAGUCUCGAAGGCUGCACUCACGGAUGCAUCAGGGGUAGGCACCUUGGUCGCCUGCGGGAGUCUUGCAGAAGUCGAAGAUGGAGCUGAUAUUGACUCCGUCAAUGAUGAUCCUGAUGGAAGGAGAGCCGGUGGUGCAGCAGGUGGAGAGCGGGCAAAGACAUAGGGGCGAGAAGCCCGAAGGACUCUCUGGACCUGGACUAGGUGAACUACUUAUCUAUGGGGAAUUGCUUUGAGUAAGCAGUGUUCUGUACGCAUUUAGAGUCCAUACACAGUUCUUUGAUAAGAAAAAAUAUGCAAGUGAGAACUGUAAUCAGGGUGUUGAGACCCUAAUUAGGGUUUUCAAACCCUAAAUUACAGAAAACGAAACACAUUUUUUUGAAAAACAAAAACGUUUGUAGAGGUCUUUGGGUGAUUCUAAGCCUUGGCAAAAUCUUAAAACAGAAAAAGCUGUGAUAUAUUAAGAGAUAUUGAGGAUGGAAAACCUCUAGGACACCCUAAACCCUAAACCCUAAACCCUAGAACCCCAGAACCCUAGAACCCUAGAACCCUUGAACCCUAGAACCCUAAACCUUGGCCGUAAUACGCUGUGUUGUUGAGCCCCCCGUUGUAUCCCUCGAAGUCGCCUCCGCCAUCGCCUGGGUCGGUUCAGAAAUGGGGAUAAAUGCGAGAUCAUUUGCAAGUAAGUCGAUGUCAUGAGGGUAACGUGGGAUGUUGCAAGCGACGCUACAGCAAGCGGCGCAAGCUCAGAGGCUAGGGGACACAAGCAGAUGUCGGCGGUGUCGACACAUCGGCGACAUUUGGAACAUUUGAACUUGAUGCCAACGCUGAUAAUACUCAAAGCAGGUUCAAUUGGAAUCGGCUGCCGAGAGCAGGUCCAGUUGGAAUUGGCUGCCAAGAGCAGGUUUAAUUGGAAUCGGGUGCCAAGAGCAGGUCCAGUUGGAAUUGGCUGCCAAGAUCAGGUUCAAUUGGUAUCGGCUACCAAGAGCAGGCCUAGUUGGAAUUGGUUGCCAAGAGCAGGUUCAAUUGGAAUCGGCUGCCAAGAGCAGGUCCAGUUGAAAUUGGCUGCUAAGAGCAGGUUCAUUUCGAAUCGGCUGCCAAUAGCAGGUCUAGUUGGAAUUGUCUGCCAAGAUCAAGUUCAAUUGGAAUCGAGUGCCGAGAGUAGGUCUUGUUGGAAUCGGCUGCCAAGAGCAGGUCUAGUUGGAAUUGGCUGCCAAGAGCAGGUUCAAUUCGAAUCAGCUGCCAAGAGCAAGUUCAGUUGGAAUUGGCUGCCAAGAGCAGGUUCAAUUCGAAUCAGCUGCCAAGAGCAAGUUCAGUUGGAAUUGGCUGCCAAGAGCAGGUUCAAUUGGAAUCGGCUGCCAAAAGCAGGUCUAGUUGGAAUUGGCUACCAAGAGCAGGUCCAGUUGGAAUUGGUUGCCAAAAGCAGGUUCAUUUGGAAUCGGCUGCCAAGAGCAGGUUCAGUUGGAAUUGGCUGCCAAGAGCAGGUUCAAUUGGUAUCGGCUGCCAAGAGCAGGUCCAAUUGGAAUUGGCUCCCAUGAGAAGGUUCAAUUGGAAUCGGCUGCCAAGAACAGGUCCAGUUGGAAUUGGCUUCAAAGAGCAGGUUCAAUUGGAAUCGGCUGCCAACAGCUCAAUGCAUGUCUGCCAAUUAGAAUUGCAUGGCCGGCAAUUGGAAUUGGCAGCUUUUUUUUGCUACGAUUGCUCCUUUCUAGGGCCUGGCACGAAGUAACUUUAGGAGGUUGGCAAGCAUAAAGGAAUCGGCCAACGUAACGACAGGGACGGUGGCUGGUGUUGAUGGCAAUGAACACAACGGCAUGAGACGAGGAAUGAAUGCAGCGUAUGGGUAUUGGCACUGCAAUGCCCAAUUGGGUGUGAAUUGCGGACCAGGGUGGAGGGACGGGUGGGGGAUUGGGAAAUGUCUAUCAUAGCGUGAAUCCUUUGUAUUUGCUCCACAUUUUCUCAGACCGGGUCUUGACGCCUCCUUAUCGUACGUUUUAUAAUAUGCAUUUCAAUGUUGGAACCACAGGUGCUGGUCGUGCUUGGUCGCUUGAGCAAUGCGGUUAAGCUUCAACAACAUCAAGAACAUUAAGAUCGAAGACGUAGAUUACUACGAAGUCUGCAAGCCAUCCACUCAUAACCAUAUGAGCUGCACAAAGCUCCUAAACCUUGGUCGCAAAUGGUGAUGUCCAAAGCUGAUGAUCUCACAAUAGAUCAAUACCUUGGUUUAGGGUACACAAUUUAUAGUCUUAGUCUUCGAAAUAAUAGCUUCCAGUGGCAAUUUAUAGGUCCAAAGUAUACCCUACAAACAAGAGAUGAUCUGGAUUUUUAUUCCUAAACCUAAAUAUCCUACAGUUAGUCGGAGAGGAAGAUGGAAUACGUACAAAUAUAUGAGGUCAUAUGGCUAAAAUCAAGUUAAAUGAAGGAGCUCGGAACUGUAGUGUCAAAAGCAAAAGACACAAGUGAAGUCUGAGAGAAGUGGUCGACCAUGCGUAUGACACCCAGUUGAGAGCAGUCCUCCUUUUCCGCAGUUCAUCUCGCUCGUCGUUGUCACGGUGGAGGUUCAAGUCAUGACAAGGGAUGGCUGCUGCAAAGCGUUUGACUUGGAUCGUCGAAACUGGCCACAGGAGUAGUCGUAAACCGAGAAAAGCUGACCAUUUCGACAGUUGUGAACAGGAGGGGAAUGAGGUGAAUAUAGUUGUGAAACAUAACUCCCUCGCCAUAUCACCCUUGUGUAGCAAUAACCCACUGGCUGGAUGCCAUUUGCACUUCCAAUAUCAAGACUGAAAACGCUUAGAGAUACACUUUAGUUCUAGCUGCAGAAGAACAAUACCAGUUGAAUUAUGCCACCACUACACCUUCAUUUAAAAAAGUACGAUUUCCGCGCAAAGAAUCUAUGUGUGUUGAUUGAGAGAGAGUUUCCACCUUAGGUGCCUUGAGUCAUAAUCAAGAGGCGACCUCUUCGUCUUCCUUCACCCAAACCAACACCCUCAUCUACUACCGUUUCCGUAAGGACCUGAACCAUUAUAAGUAGAUAGUUGACAAUUAUCUCAACUCAAAUAUGAGGCGAAGCACAAAACUGUGAGCCGAACACACGAGCAGGUAACCAUGCUGUGGAAAUUAUGAAUUCAUAGAUGCGGGUUCAUAGAAGUGAAUAUCACCUGUGAGGUCCCAGUCGCGAUUAGGUUUACAUCCAAAACCGGGCACAUGCGCCCGCACAGGAGAAAGGCACAUGAAGGGCGCCGUCCAUCCCAUACUGCCACCGUUCCCUGGAUGCCACUCUCAUUACUCUUUCCCCUUGUACGGGCUGGUCCAAAACCUGGUCGCCUAGUCUUCCGAUCGAAGGCUGCCUUAGGCUUCACAGAAGAGCAAGAUAGUGCGGCGCAUGUCUCAACGAACACAUCGUUCAGGUUUGCUUGCAAAGCACGGGGAGAAUGAGCGGUCGGAGGGCAGUUCGAGGUUGGGAGAGACGGAAGUGUGGCCAAUGAGAUGCAACCGUGGGAAGGGGGUGGAAAAAGACGUGGAGUGAAGAGGAUCAGGGGCUUGCGAGGGAGACAAUGGUAGUUUUGGAAAGGCAGUAGGUUUAGGGUUUCGUGGGGGGAGGAAAAAAGUCACCGUUUAUGAGCGGCGGAGCGGGGAGACUGACAUCACCGGACGGGGGAGUUGGUGGUCGCCAUCGUUGUAUGAAUCGAUGGGUGACUACAUGCCUAUGUCGCAGGAUGUGCAAGCGCAGCAUGCAACUCGGCGGUGGACCUCGUUCUUAUCCGCGGUGAUGCACGAUGCAGGGGCGCCUCGAGAUGACGCGUUGGGUGGGGUGUACCAGAGGAGCCACACCUUUUGGGGGUAGGGUUUAGGGUUGCACGCAUUCAACAAUUUCUUUUGGAGCCUGCCGAGGUCGUCGAUGUCCAAGGG
rnacentral:lncRNA from 1 species